AACUGAGGAUAAUACUGGAUAGGCAAUUAUUCCUGGAAUGGAUUUUUGUUUAAAUGUUUUUUCGCCUAAGGAUGGGUCUGCGGCCGAUUAGGUAGUUGGUUAGGUAACGGCUUACCAAGCCAUUGAUCGGUACGGGUUGUGAGAGCAAGAGCCCGGAGAUGGAACCUGAGACAAGGUUCCAGGCCCUACGGGGUGCAGCAGGCGCGAAACCUCCGCAAUGCGAGAAAUCGCGACGGGGGGAUCCCAAGUGCCAUUCUUAACGGGAUGGCUUUUCAUUAGUGUAAAGAGCUUUUGGAAUAAGGGCUGGGCAAGACCGGUGCCAGCCGCCGCGGUAACACCGGCAGCUCUAGUGGUAGCAGUUUUUAUUGGGCCUAAAGCGUCCGUAGCCGGUUUAAUAAGUCUCUGGUGAAAUCCUGUAGCUUAACUGUGGGAAUUGCUGGAGAUACUAU
rnacentral:rRNA from 1 species